ACCAGUGUGGCAUAGUGGUUUGAGUGUUGGACUGUGACUCUGGAGACCAUGGUUCAAUCCCCAGCUUGGCUA